AUCUUUACUUUUAAACUGUUUUUUUUUGGUGGGGGGGAACCCACUGUGACACACUGGCACCCCAAUAUUUACCACUGUUAUGCAAUUAGGAUAUGUUUUGUACAAAGUAUGCCUUGUGAGGUAUCAUUCUAAAAGUCUUGAUCUGCUAGACAGUCAUAUCUCGUUGGAUUGUAUGUGGUAUCGUCAUAUGUGAAGUUACGAAGUUUGGCUAUAUAUAUACUAUAUGU